GGAAUUACUGGGCGUAAAGCGCACGCAGGCGGUCUGUCAAGUCGGAUGUGAAAAUCCCCGGGCUCAACCUGGGAACUGCAUUCGAAACUGGCAGGCUAGAGUCUUGUAGAGGGGGGUAGAAUUUCCAGGUGUAGCGGUGAAAUGCGUAGAGAUCUGGAGGAAUACCGGUGGCGAAGGCGGCCCCCUGGACAAAGACUGACGCUCAGGUGCGAAAGCGUGGGGAGCAAACAGGAUUAGAUACCCUGGUAGUCCACGCCGUAAACGAUGUCGAUUUGGAGGUUGUGCCCUUGAGGCGUGGCUUCCGGAGCUAACGCGUUAAAUCGACCGCCUGGGGAGUACGGCCGCAAGGUUAAAACUCAAAUGAAUUGACGGGGGCCCGCACAAGCGGUGGAGCAUGUGGUUUAAUUCGAUGCAACGCGAAGAACCUUACCUGGUCUUGACAUCCACAGAACUUACCAGAGAUGGUUUGGUGCCUUCGGGAACUGUGAGACAGGUGCUGCAUGGCUGUCGUCAGCUCGUGUUGUGAAAUGUUGGGUUAAGUCCCGCAACGAGCGCAACCCUUAUCCUUUGUUGCCAGCGGUCCGGCCGGGAACUCAAAGGAGACUGCCAGUGAUAAACUGGAGGAAGGUGGGGAUGACGUCAAGUCAUCAUGGCCCUUACGACCAGGGCUACACACGUGCUACAAUGGCAUAUACAAAGAGAAGCGACCUCGCGAGAGCAAGCGGACCUCAUAAAGUAUGUCGUAGUCCGGAUUGGAGUCUGCAACUCGACUCCAUGAAGUCGGAAUCGCUAGUAAUCGUAGAUCAGAAUGCUACGGUGAAUACGUUCCCGGGCCUUGUACACACCGCCCGUCACACCAUGGGAGUGGGUUGCAAAAGAAGUAGGUAGCUUAACCUU
rnacentral:rRNA from 1 species